UACGUAGGGUGCAGGCGUUAAUCGGAAUUACUGGGCGUAAAGCGUGCGCAGGCGGUUGUGUAAGACAGGUGUGAAAUCCCCGGGCUUAACCUGGGAAUUGCAUUUGUGACUGCACGGCUAGAGUUUGGCAGAGGGGGGUAGAAUUCCACGUGUAGCAGUGAAAUGCGUAGAGAUGCGGAGGAACACCGAUGGCGAAGGCAGCCCCCUGGGCCAAUACUGACGCUCAGGCACGAAAGCGUGGGGAGCAAACAGG
rnacentral:rRNA from 1 species